rnacentral:rRNA from 1 species
UGGAUCGACUGCCGCUGGUUCCCUCCUUAAUUUACGCUCGGUGGCUGUCCCUGUUGUUUCUGGCGCGGGUGAGUUGCGGUGUAACCGGCCUGUUUCCUGGGAUAACUCCGGGAAACCGGGGCUAAUACCGGAUGGUUGUUUGAAACCGCAUGGUUUCCUGAUGAAGUACGGUUUUGCUGUCACUUAUAAAUGGACCCGCGCCGAAUUACCUAUUGGGGAAGGUAACGCCUUACCAAGGCAACAUUCCGUACCCAACCUGAAAGGGUGACCGGCCACACUGGAACUGAAACCCGGCCCAAACUCCUACGGGAGGCACCAUAAGGGAAUCUUCCGCAUUGGGCGAAAUCCGGACGAAGCACCGCCCCGUGAAUGAUAAUGGUCUUCGAAUCGAAAAUUCUGUUAUUAGGGAAAACCAGGGGUGUAAGAAUAUGUCCAUACCUUGACGGUACCUAAUCAAAGCCCCGGCUAACUACGUGCCAGCACCGCGGUAAUACGUAGGUGGCAAGCGUUUCCAGAAUUAUUGGGCGUAAGCGCUCGAAGCGGUUUCUUUAAUUAUGAUGGAAACAGGUCCCCGCGUUCAGUGGAGUGGAGUCCGUCACUGGAGUCAUGAACUGGACCUGGGUCAAGGGGGGGGUCGAUCCCCUGUAACGGGAGUGCGUAGGAAUUGGGGAAACCUCUUUGCCAGGGGCACUUUUGUUCGUAUUGACGUGAGGACGAAACCUUGGGGACCGACCGAGAUCGGAUACCUUGGAUAGUCCACGCGGUAAGCGAUGAGUGUUAAGUGUUAGGGGGAUUCCCGCCCUUUAGUGGCGCAGCUAGCGCAUAGCGCUCCCCCCGUGGGGAGUACGCUCGACAGGACUGAAUCUCAAAAGAUGUGACGGAGGCCCCGCACAAGCUGUAGCGCAUGUGGUAUAUUUAGGCGCCACGAGAAGCACUAUCCCAUGUCUUGACAUCCUGUCACAUUCAUAGAUAUAGCAUGUCCCUUUCGGGGGCAGAGUGACAGGUGGUGCAUGGUUGUCGUCAGCUCGUGUCGUGAGAUGUUGGGUUAAGUCCCGCAACGAGCGCAACCCUUGAUCUUAGUUGCCAGCAUUCAGUUGGGCACUUUAAGGUGACUGCCGGUGACAAACCGGAGGAAGGUGGGGAUGACGUCAAAUCAUCAUGCCCCUUAUGACUUGGGCUACACACGUGCUACAAUGGACAGAACAAAGGGCAGCGAAACCGCGAGGUUAAGCCAAUCCCACAAAUCUGUUCUCAGUUCGGAUCGCAGUCUGCAACUCGACUGCGUGAAGCUGGAAUCGCUAGUAAUCGCGGAUCAGCAUGCUGCGGUGAAUACGUUUUAGGGGCCUUGUACACACCGCCCGUCACUACAGGAGGACCUCAACACCAGAGAAAGGCGGUGAGCUCGGCAGAACAGCCGCCGAACGCGACAUGUAUGGAGGAUCCACGAGAAGAACCGGCGCAGACUCACAAA